CACGUAGGGGGCAAGCGUUGUCCGGAUUUAUUGGGCGUAAAGAGCUCGUAGGCGGUUCGGUAAGUCGGGUGUGAAACCUCCAGGCUCAAUCUGGAGACGCCACCCGAUACUGCUGUGACUAGAGUCCGGUAGGGGAGCGUGGAAUUCCUGGUGUAGCGGUGAAAUGCGCAGAUAUCAGGAGGAACACCAGCGGCGAAGGCGGCGCUCUGGGCCGGAACUGACGCUGAGGAGCGAAAGUGUGGGGAGCGAACAGG
rnacentral:rRNA from 1 species